CCGCAUUCUUACAUUGACAAUAUUUUAAAAAAUGAGUAUACUAGGUAUGCCGUAUGUAUCUUAUGAAUCGGCAUCGUUACAGCUGCCCCGGAUAAGUGGCGCUUAAGCUCGGGUCUCGCGCGACGGAAAUCCACGAACCGUGUCAGGUUGGGAACAAAGCAGCACUAAGAGGAACCUUCCGGGUGCCGUGAGGCAACCUGGGCCCAGCUAACUGUUCGGGUAACGUGUAGCGGUGUCAAUUGAUAAGAUACAUGCGG
rnacentral:SRP_RNA from 1 species